AACAAACUCCUCUACACAAUCGGCGCAGAAAGCGCGAUAGAUUGGGUCCCAAGUGCUUAAAUCAAAAUGGAAGCUGUUUCUUUGUUUAAAAUGCAGUCCGAGUAAGGGCUGGGUAAGACGGGUGCCAGCCGCCGCGGUAAUACCUGCAGCUCAAGUAGUGAUCGCUAUUAUUGGGCCUAAAACGUUCGUAGCCGUUUUGGUAAAUGCGUGGGGUAAAUAGUGUAGCUUAACUAUACGAUUCCCGGGGAGACUGCCAACCUUGGGACCGGAAGAGGCUGGAGGUACUCCUGGGGUAGAGGGGAAAUUCUUUAUUCCUGAGGGGGCCCCCAGGGGGGAAGGGUUUUUCUUAGAACGGGGUCAAACGUUUAUGUACAAACCCCUGGGGGCCCCAACCGGAAUUGGGGGGGCCGGGGGAUUCAGGGGCCAACACCUUCGUUUGUUUGGGUUUAAGGGGGGCCCCCGGCCCCCAUUUGGGCCGGGAAAAAAUUUUUUAACAAAAUUUUCUUUGGAAGGAAGGCGCCGAAG
rnacentral:rRNA from 1 species